rnacentral:rRNA from 1 species
CGUGUAGGCGGGAGCGUGAGUCGGUCGUGAAAGCCUUCGGCUCAACCGAAGAAGGGCGGCCGAUACUGCGUUCCUUGAGGGGUGGGGAGGAGACUGGAAUUCCCGGUGUAGCGGUGAAAUGUGUAGAGAUCGGGAGGAACACCGGUGGCGAAGGCGGGUCUCUGGCCACACCCUGACGCUGAGGCGCGAAAGCGUGGGGAGCAAACG